GGCCCCGCAAAAGCCACAUCUGACUCUUCCGGACAAGUGCCCGCAGCCAUGAUGUGGCUGGCGAGCCCAGUGGUCUGAGCCUGGGUCUUGGGCAGACUGGAUUUUGAUGUAAAUUGGAACCGAGGAAGAACAAUUUAGGCACCACCCUUGACUACUGAGUACAGAACGCAGGUGGUUCCUGAGAGGGGAAGGAAGAAGGGGGCAGGCGUCAGGUUACAAGUUUCGAAGGCUUGGCCUUGACUCUCUGUUUUGGUCUCAAAUCUGUUAUUCCCUCUGUCUCCCCACUUCCUGCCACACUGUAACCCACCUCGUAAACCAGCGGGGUGACUCCUGGUUCCCAUCUACCACAUGAACUUGGAGCACACGGCAGCCACUUUGUCCAUAUCCAUCUUUAACAUGGUCACUCUUCAGUGGAGCAGUAGUCUGCGGCUAUGGUCACUUAGAUGACCACAAAUCCAGUUUAUUUGUACUCUUAUUCAAUAUGCACUUCAUCAGCCUGCCCUCAAAGAAAACAGUUCAGUCUAAGAGUUCAACAAACACAUUAAGCAUCUAUUGAAUGCUGGAUAAUAAGAUCACUGAGAUGAACAAGAUAGAGUGUCUACACCUGAGAUACUUCUUUUGAGAAAAUGGAUCAAACAGAUCACUUCAGAGUGUCGGGUCAUUCUCUCUGCAGAGGGAGAGGUUCCUUCUCCCUGCCCCCCGUGCUCCUACAUCCCGGGCUCUGAGCAUCCCUAGCUCCAGGGGAGCAUGGCUGCAAAGCAGGACGUCUGCCCCUGGGACAGCGGGCGUGGGCACCAACUGACCAGAAGCUGCAACCCAGGCUGACCCUGUGGCACAGGUGUAAAGGCCACCUGGGAUGAGCCGGCCCAGGAGUCGAUUCUCCAGGCGACAGAGGAGGGUAUCUGUUUGCUCAGAACCACAGAGUUUUGUUUCUCCUCAAAUCUAGGUGAAAAAUCAUUGUCUGGGAGGCAGUUAACUGAGAAAAAAUUCUCAGCUGCUUUGAAAACAGUGAAAACACUUUGCAUUUCCAACAAAAGAGACGCCUUUUGAAGGUGGGAAAUUGUCAC